AUGCCAGAGCCUGGACCAGACAGGUGGUUCCCACAUCCUCCACCAUGCCAGACCACGUUGGGGACAAAAUGGCAAAGAAUCUGUGUCUCCACCUGCCCCCCUGGCCACUACCAUGCUGACAAAAAGCGGUGUCAGAAAUGUGCACCCAACUGUGAGUCUUGCUUUGGCAACCAUGGUGACCAGUGCCUGUCCUGCAAAUAUGGAUAUCCUGAAUGAAGAAACCAGCAGCUGUGUUGUUCACUGCCCCGAUGGGUCGUACCAGGACACCAGUGAGUUGAUUUCAGAUAUUUGCAUUUUGAAAAAGACCUUGGUUUUCAUUUGAAUAACCUUGAAGCAUAUUCCUCUUGUGUGAAAUCUGGGCUUUGCUUAAUAUCAGUCAAUUUAUUUAAGAGAUAC
rnacentral:lncRNA from 1 species